AGAGUUUGAUCCUGGCUCAGGACGAACGCUGGCGGCGUGCCUAAUACAUGCAAGUAGAACGCUGAAGAGAGGAGCUUGCUCUUCUUGGAUGAGUUGCGAACGGGUGAGUAACGCGUAGGUAACCUGCCUUGUAGCGGGGGAUAACUAUUGGAAACGAUAGCUAAUACCGCAUAACAAUGGAUGACACAUGUCAUUUAUUUGAAAGGGGCAAUUGCUCCACUACAAGAUGGACCUGCGUUGUAUUAGCUAGUAGGUGAGGUAACGGCUCACCUAGGCGACGAUACAUAGCCGACCUGAGAGGGUGAUCGGCCACACUGGGACUGAGACACGGCCCAGACUCCUACGGGAGGCAGCAGUAGGGAAUCUUCGGCAAUGGGGGCAACCCUGACCGAGCAACGCCGCGUGAGUGAAGAAGGUUUUCGGAUCGUAAAGCUCUGUUGUAAGUCAAGAACGAGUGUGAGAGUGGAAAGUUCACACUGUGACGGUAGCUUACCAGAAAGGGACGGCUAACUACGUGCCAGCAGCCGCGGUAAUACGUAGGUCCCGAGCGUUGUCCGGAUUUAUUGGGCGUAAAGCGAGCGCAGGCGGUUUGAUAAGUCUGAAGUUAAAGGCUGUGGCUCAACCAUAGUUCGCUUUGGAAACUGUCAAACUUGAGUGCAGAAGGGGAGAGUGGAAUUCCAUGUGUAGCGGUGAAAUGCGUAGAUAUAUGGAGGAACACCGGUGGCGAAAGCGGCUCUCUGGUCUGUAACUGACGCUGAGGCUCGAAAGCGUGGGGAGCGAACAGGAUUAGAUACCCUGGUAGUCCACGCCGUAAACGAUGAGUGCUAGGUGUUGGAUCCUUUCCGGGAUUCAGUGCCGCAGCUAACGCAUUAAGCACUCCGCCUGGGGAGUACGACCGCAAGGUUGAAACUCAAAGGGAUUGACGGGGGCCCGCACAAGCGGUGGAGCAUGUGGUUUAAUUCGAAGCAACGCGAAGAACCUUACCAGGUCUUGACAUCCCGAUGCUAUUUCUAGAGAUAGAAAGUUACUUCGGUACAUCGGUGACAGGUGGUGCAUGGUUGUCGUCAGCUCGUGUCGUGAGAUGUUGGGUUAAGUCCCGCAACGAGCGCAACCCCUAUUGUUAGUUGCCAUCAUUCAGUUGGGCACUCUAGCGAGACUGCCGGUAAUAAACCGGAGGAAGGUGGGGAUGACGUCAAAUCAUCAUGCCCCUUAUGACCUGGGCUACACACGUGCUACAAUGGUUGGUACAACGAGUUGCGAGUCGGUGACGGCAAGCUAAUCUCUUAAAGCCAAUCUCAGUUCGGAUUGUAGGCUGCAACUCGCCUACAUGAAGUCGGAAUCGCUAGUAAUCGCGGAUCAGCACGCCGCGGUGAAUACGUUCCCGGGCCUUGUACACACCGCCCGUCACACCACGAGAGUUUGUAACACCCGAAGUCGGUGAGGUAACCUUUUGGAGCCAGCCGCCUAAGGUGGGAUAGAUGAUUGGGGUGAAGUCGUAACAAGGUAGCC
rnacentral:rRNA from 1 species